GACGAACGCUGGCGGCGUGCUUAACACAUGCAAGUCGAGCGGUAAGGCCCUUUCGGGGGUACACGAGCGGCGAACGGGUGAGUAACACGUGGGUGACCUGCCCUCAGCUCUGGGAUAAGCCCGGGAAACUGGGUCUAAAUACUGGAUAUGACUCCAUGACGCAUGUUGUGGGGUGGAAAGCCUUGUGCGGCUGAGGAUGGGCCCGCGGCCUAUCAGCUUGUUGGG
rnacentral:rRNA from 1 species